AAAUCUAUAUCCAAUGGAAAUCGCUCAGAUUUUCUCUUAUUUUCUUUUAUUUGUGUGUUUGUGUGUUGAUUUGGAAUGAAAAUGAGAACAAGCUUCAGAGAAGAAACUUGCGAAUCCAAUGAGAGAGAUUAAGGUGUAGAAGCUCGUUCUCAACAUCUCCAUGGGUGAGAGUGGAUAUCAUCUCACUAGAGCCGCUAAGGUUUAUAAGAACAUAUGGAGCAACUUUCUAUAUCAAUCAAUCUCUCUUAAAACCAUCGACUUUGUCAAUUAAAGAAUUUGAUUCCGCUGCAAAGAAGCAAAUAAUUAAUGAAUAAAUAAAUUGAUUGCUGCUAUUAUAAUGCUCUUGGAUUUGAUCUGAACUCUCCAUUUCCCACAAAUUUGGUUGACAUGACAGAAG